ACAGAGUAAAUAUCAAUAAGGGACAUUAAAAAUUUAUGUUGUAAUAACGUUAUUUUGAAAGGUGUCGUGUAAGCGAAGUCAAGCAACUUGAGAAACACACACUGGUGAAAACGAUCCGUCG
rnacentral:ribozyme from 16 species